CAGAGGCAAAGGCUUUUUCCCUUCUAGGGAGAAAGUGGAGAAAAAUGUAAUGAAGUUAAUGACGGCACAUUGUGUGCAACCAAGAGGAAAGUGAAUCAGAUUGCUUUUCAGUUAUAUCCUGCAAGCACUCUUUAAAAAUCAGAUUUCCCCCUUUCAUUCUGCAUUUAGCCCUAAAGAUAAUGUAGAAACUGCUCAGAGAUUGCAGACUGUUCGGGGUCAGGAGACGUUAUUCCUGUCUCUACUCCUUUGACUAUGACAAAAAUCAAUCCAUUUUACCAUAGCCUACAUAUAAAAAGAAGUGAACCCAAAGUACAGAACUUUGUAUCAACAGCGUCUUUGUCAUGAUAAUGAGCCUCACUGAACAUUUUUCAUCUCCAUAAAGCGCUUCCUUUGGAUUAGGCUUCUUUGUACACGGGGUGACAGUGGUGUAGCAACAGAACAGCGCAUGCUGUUCUCUGCCCAAUCCGCUUUGCUGCACAGCACAGACAGCACUCAGCUGCGCAGGCAGGAGUUGCAAACACCACGGAUCGCGGAGAUGAGCCACCCUUCAGUAAACAGAAGUGUUUUGUCACAGUCCUGUAUUGAAACGGCACACCUCACUGAGCUGAUGAGAUGCAGAGCCCUGCUGAGAACCUCAGCAACCAGCCCCUACCCACAGCCCUCGGGAGCCCUGGUGGAGGCAGGCAGUGCUCAAGCACACGGCCCCUGCAGAUGUCCUCCAGGAAAAGGCAGCAGAGAAGCAUUCCCCGGUCCAGUUUUUGGAUCACACAGACACAAAGGCACUUGCUGAUGUUCUCACUAGGCAACGGCAGCAUCUGCCACUGAUGAGCAAAGCCACCGCUAGGACGGCAAGGAGGUCUCUGAGCAGAUAAGGAAUCCUUUCCCAGUACAGAGCAGCCACGUGAGAUUAUCAGGAGAACUGGCUUCUAUUUUCUUUCCAAAGCACCCGAGGUACUGCCGCAGGCAGGCUGCAGCUGCCGGGCAGCAGGGAGGAGCACUCCGGCUCUCAAAGUACCGCCAGUAGCAGUCGUACAAGCACAGCUGUAACCUCUUGUGAGGACACGAGCACUCAUCAUCCCGCCUUCUGCCAAACCUUACUCAGUCUCUUGUUUAGCACAUGCAGUGCUGAGGAAAGCUCUUUCAUCUAUGCCUGUUCCCACACCUUGGCAUCCCCUUUAUGCCCUCCCGCACAUAACCAGGCCAGGAGCAAAGCAGCUUCGCAGCAAUGAGACCAAUAACCCCGGAGGAGAUGGUGAAAGUAAGCAUUCUGCUCUUAGUGCAAAGACAAAGCACUGAGACGUGCUGCUUUGGCCAAUACACGUACUAAUAUACAACCACACGUGCCGGGAAGCCCAUUUCCUUUUGGACCAAAAUGUGAGAUUCCCCAAACAAAGUUAUCCUGACUCUCCCAUACCUCUGAUGCAGCACAAAACAUCGCAGCCCUGACACAGGGAAGGGAAGGAUUAGCCAUGGAGCAGACAUCUAUCCAGGACAUCAUGUUUGUAAGACUUUGCCUUUCCCAAAAGGCCAGCGGGUCCAGGACCUCCUGCUUCUGGCCCUGCAAAAGCAUCCUUUUGACAACAUCCCAUAGAGAGUCUAAGCUAACACUUCAGCAAGUCUCAUUCAUCCAUCCAGGAAGAAAACUCGGCAUUAAGCAUUCAGGGGAAGGAACUUUUGAGCUUCCCAGGAAGUUACAAGGAAGUGAGUUACUCAUUGUGUUGCCUGCAACACUGCGUGAAGCUUUGCCAAAUCUUCCAAACACAGCUGUUUCGAGGGACGUGCUACAGAUCGGUUAGGAAAGAUGUAAUUACAGCAGAGCCCAUACAACACAUUAUUGACAAUAAAUUAGACUAGCGCUGCCUACAGGCACGGGACUUUGCUGAUGCUCACUCUCUUGUCAAAUCACGUUCAGGGCCCUCAGCAAAAGAGGAGAAAUCUCUGCUUCAUGUCUGGAAAAUGGUAAGAACUUGAGAAAGAAAAAAGUACGUGACAGAUUAAGUUGGUAUCAAGAAUGCAAACACAUGGAGGCAGUGAAAAACUACUAAGGUAAAAUUCCAAUUCUGCUGGCACUAACUUCCAAAGAAAAUUACAUGUCUGAUAGUUCUCCACAGAACCAACAGAAAGGUUGCUUUACUUAAGAGAAAGUCUUAAAGCAUGGUUGCAUUUGUACCCCCGAAUGAUAGAAAACAGCACAGAAACCAAACCAAACCUCCUCACUUGGAGACCUGAAUUUCCAAGGGAAGAAGUACACAAACGUCCAUCUCAGAAAGCUCAGGGAGAACUCAUAACUCUCAGCAAGGAGCUACAGAACGGAGGCAGGAGGAAGAGGCGGCUGGAACGGGCUGUGGCAGCCACCCUGCCCUGCCACCACCCGCCUGCAGCUGCUCAACCAACGCCUCCCCCCCAGGGUUACUUUCAGUGGACUCAAAGCAGUUCUCCCAAGAGAGCUCAGCUACACUCGGCUGAAGAUAAGGCACUCUCGCGGCUCAUCAGCUUCUUCAGCACCAUCACUGUGGUCUUAAAACAACCGUGGGACUGGAGCCAGGCCAUAGCAGCA
rnacentral:lncRNA from 1 species